rnacentral:rRNA from 1 species
CCGACUGCUAUCAGAGUAGGACUAAGCCAUGCGAGUCAACGCCGCAAGGCGUGGCAUACGGCUCAGUAACACGUAGUCAACAUGCCCAAAGGACGUGGAUAACCUCGGGAAACUGAGGAUAAACCGCGAUAGGCCAAGGUUUCUGGAAUGAGCCAUGGCCGAAAUCUAUAUGGCCUUUGGAUUGGACUGCGGCCGAUCAGGCUGUUGGUGAGGUAAUGGCCCACCAAACCUGUAACCGGUACGGGCUUUGAGAGAAGGAGCCCGGAGAUGGGCACUGAGACAAGGGCCCAGGCCCUAUGGGGCGCAGCAGGCGCGAAACCUCUGCAAUAGGCGAAAGCUUGACAGGGUUACUCUGAGUGAUGCCCGCUAAGGGUAUCUUUUGGCACCUCUAAAAAUGGUGCAGAAUAAGGGGUGGGCAA